ACAGGUCAACGUAAGCUUCAUUCCCUUUAAAGCAGGUAAUCUUCAUAUUGUUUUAAAUGAUAUAUUUCAGGGACUCUACUUUAACAAUGACUUAGGAUAAUAAUUUGUUAUAGUGUUUGUUAUAAAGCAUAUACAUGUAUAUUUUACAUUAAGUUUAUUAAACUAAUUAUGAAAAGAAUGUGGUACAACAUGUGUUUAGUUUUUUUUUUUAUUGAUAUUUCAGAGUUUUCAUAUGUGAGGUAAUCUUGCUUAUGCUGGGAGUGAAGGCAGUGCGUAUGACUGCUUAAUAUGAAAGACACAUCCUGUUUUAAAAGGUGAUGUAUGCAUGUUACUUUCAAUGCUGGCAUUAAAAUAAUAGUUAUUUACUGUUUAAACAUUUUGGAGAUUGUGUGUGUGAUCUUGUGGCACAUUUACUUGUGAUAACAGAAUUAUUUUUGUCUAUCUGUUGUAGGUGUAUCAUGAGUGAAGCUCUGCAGGUCGGCCAUUGGCUUGAUAACAGUGGUUUAUGUGAAUUGAGUGAAUUCAAUUUAUAAAUAAAUCUUUCACCAAGCAUUCACCUAUUUACGGACAAAACAGAUCCAAAUCUUGUUCAGCCUGAUGCUCAACCUUGUAUGAUGAUGACCACAGCCAGGUGAUGGAGAUCUGUGUUAAUCACAGCCUGCGUCUCAAGAUCAACAUGACAAUAGCAGACCAUUUCUUAUCUUACUCUUAUCUGACUAAAUGUUCAGCAUCAUUGCAACAAAACAAAGAACAUUGGAUGGAGUAUUGGAGUAUUGGAUGAUCCCGUAAAGAAAAUAAUCUGGACUUUUUUUGGUGAGAUUCUACAAAGAUUGACACAAUCCUAUUGACUUUUAUUUUUACAGUUAAUAAUGCAUUAUAAACAUCCCAUUCAUUUGUAUUCUAUGUCAUCGAUCUGUUUGUGCUAAAAUGUAUACAUCUGAAUGUAAUGUCAAUAAUAUGUUAAUAUUCAGGAUUUAUUAUCAUUUGCAUGUCUUGAUGUUGCAUGUCAUGAUUUUGUUGAUUUCAUGUAAUUGUUGUCUAUUUAAAAUGAUUUUAAUUGCCAAAUUUUAUUGUUAAUUUAUUUAAUAUUGAAGCUGUUAUUUAACAUCCAUAUCUUAUUUGAGUAAUGAUUUGUUAUAUUUGCAUAAUAAUUAAUAUAUUUAUUCUGAUUGUGAUUUUAAUGCACAUAUUUAUUAUUGUAUGACACCUCAUGUAAUGAAAAAGUGAAAAUAAAAGUAUGUUCUGAUGU